AUGAAUUUAACUCUUUGCAUGCUUGUCUUUCUAAAAGAGAGUAUGUUGACUAGAAUGCCGAGAAGAUGGGUGAUGUUCUGGGGUAUGAGUGAGGGCGGGUGGCAACCGUCUUUACCAGUGCCCCCAGUGGCUCCAGGAUCCAAGACCCCAAAUCUUUAUCCAAUGGGGCAAAUUUUUAUUGAGGCACACGAAUAUUUUCACGGAAGAGAAGUGUCUGAUUUAGGCUAAAUUAGAAUUAUUUUGGUAAUCCAUCCCAAAUAAAUUAACAUGGUGAUCAGUAUUGGAAGGGGGCGAAGAACCUCAUUCACUGUCCUUGCUGAGGGUCUCCCGGGCUGGCGUCUCUGCGGCAUCUUCUCCUUAAGGCGACAACGUGACGUGUGCAGCUGCACACUCGGGGCCAUCAUUCUGUAAAUCAAUUUUGGGAUCUUCUCUGGAGACCAAUGCAGCUGUUUUUUGUUUUUUGUUUUUUUUUUUGAAAUUUGCUGAUCUCUGUCGAGUGUGUGGUGUCUGACAUGCCUGCAGCCUGAGGCUGUGCCGAGGUGCUGUCCUUAUGCUGCAGAACCGUGUAGACUCAUACCCUCAUUUCUGGCUGCUUUUCUGCCUUCUCUGGGCCCAUUCUUUGAUGCCAUUUUGUGUUUCUCGCAUCAUCCUUCUUUUUUUUGUUUCUCAAUAUGUUCUGGCAUUUGCAUUAUGUGGAUUUGUUUCCAAUAUGUAAAAAUCUGUGUUCUGAUGAUACAUAUUUAUUGUUAAAAAACUGGAAAACAUUAAAGGGUUAAAGAAAGAAACUUUAAUUUCCUAUUACUGUGUGUAAUGUAAAUCCACAUGCAUAUACACACUGUAUAUUCAAUCUGUCCACUUUGUCAACAUUUGAAAACUGGACGCCGUUUAAACAUUCUACCAAGAGACCAGGUUGGAAGGAGAAGGCAGACGAUGAAGGAGGCGAUGAGAUAACCGAUCCUGACGCAGCGGCCCCGCUGUGCCAGCCCGUUCUGACGCCUCUUCGUUCAGUUCAUCUUCACUCUGUUCCUACGAUGCCUUCAUCCUGCGCCACAGAGAAGCUGUAGCACAGAGAGAGAAGGAACCGGCCCAAUGUUCUUAAAGCCUUUUCUUCCAUCAGUAAAUACUUCAUAAGCCAGAAGGAUGGAGCAGAAUUUCAUCACAUGAAUACAAUGUAACUUACGGUCAUUGUUCAACGUUUAGAUUGUUUCCAACUGGAGUAUCUUUCAGAUGCUGCUGCGACUUGACUUCUUUCCUUAUGAUGGACUUCGGGACAUACACUGAUGUGUCAAAGGGUGAAGAUUUUUAUGGCCCUUGACAUUGCCCCUUGCUUUCUAGAAACUCAGCGCCCGCAGUCCAUAGAUGGAAUGUGAGAGUCUACGCCUCAUUACAAAUAUCGACGUUUAAAUAUAUCUUUGUUAGUUUCAAAAGUUAAAAAAAAAAAAAAAUUCUUUUGAGGGCCACACCUGUGGCAUAUAGAAGUUUCCAGGCUAGAGGCUGAACUGGAGCUGCAGCUGCCAGCCUACACCAGGGCCACAGCAGCGCGGGACCCAAGCGGUGUCUGCGACCUGCGCCACAGCCACAGGAUCCUUAACUCACUGAACGGGGUCAGGGAUCGAACCCGCAUCCUCAUGGAUACUAGUCAGGUUCGUAACCCACUGAGCCACAAUGGGAACUCCAAAAUAGCAUUAUUUUAGUUAUUUUCAUUUAGUAAAAAAGACUUUGUUGUUGUCGUUGCCCCUCAGCGGGUCGCUCACAGCACUUCUCUGCUCUUCUCCGACGAGGAAACAGAGCGAGCGACUCAAAUCGACCGUGGUGCCUGGGACCUUCCCACUGUUACUCUUGGUGAACUUUGUCCUUGUUUACGCUUCAGGACCACUGAUUCACUGCCAGGAUGCAUAUUUGACGCAUGUGUGCACAGAGUACCCAGUAGUAAAACCCAAUGACAGAACUCCCUAGGCAGCUGGGUCACGCUAUAUUAGCAAAUUUGAUCUGCAUUCUAGUUGGCGUUAGAACAGGAAGACAAAACAAGCAAGCAAGCUAGGCAAUAAACACUGUACUCUGAG
rnacentral:lncRNA from 1 species